UCUCAGUGACGAACAAGAAUCGAUGACGAGUCCGAUAAUUUUCCAUUCUUCUCAUAUCGUGACGACAAAUCGAGGCAUUUGUCCGAGAGAA
rfam:Eucalyptus grandis cultivar BRASTZ1 unplaced genomic scaffold scaffold_9, whole genome shotgun sequence.